AUACUUAGUCAACAUCGUUAAGUGGGCCUAACAGCAGCCACCUUUCAAAAAGCGUCAAAGCUUAACCACAUUACCUUAAUCUAAAAAUCCCCAUUGACCCCUUUAACUGUAUUGAGAGCUUCUAUAAUCUUAUAGAACCCCUUAUGCUAAAACUAAUAACAAGAGAAAACCUCUCUCCUAAAUGCAAACACAAGCCAGCAAGAACCCAUCACUGGCAUCUAACGGACCCACCAGGUAGUAACCCCACUAGAAAACCCUAUCUCCCCCCCCCGUUAACCUAACACCAGAGCAUUUCAAGAAAGAUUAAAAGAAAAAAAAGGAACUCGGCAAACUUAAGCCCCGCCUGUUUACCAAAAACAUCGCCUCCCGGCCCCAUGGGAGGUCCAGCCUGCCCAGUGACCCUGUUCAACGGCCGCGGUAUUCUAACCGUGCAAAGGUAGCGUAA
rnacentral:rRNA from 1 species